rnacentral:tRNA from 1 species
AGAAUAGAAGUUUAAAAACAUAUAAUUUGCAUUUAUAAAAAGAAUAAAAAAUUCCUAUUUUU